GUGAGGAAUUUUCCGCAAUGGGCGAAAGCCUGACGGAGCAAUGCCGCGUGAAGGAUGAAGGCCUAUGGGUUGUAAACUUCUUUUCUCAGAAAAGAAUUAUGACGGUAUCUGAGGAAUAAGCAUCGGCUAACUCUGUGCCAGCAGCCGCGGUAAGACAGAGGAUGCAAGCGUUAUCCGGAAUGAUUGGGCGUAAAGCGUCUGUAGGUUGUUUAAAAAGUAUUCUGUCAAAGAUUAGGGCUUAACCCUAGAUAGGCAGAAUAAACUUUUAAGCUAGAGGUUGGUAGAGGCAGAGGGAAUUCCCGGUGGAGCGGUGAAAUGCGUAGAUAUCGGGAGGAACACCAAAGGCGAAGGCACUCUGCUGGGCCAAUACUAACACUGAGAGACGAAAGCGAGGGGAGCAAAUGGGAUUAGAAACCCUUGAAGUCC
rnacentral:rRNA from 1 species